UUUUCCGCGCCGUAGCUAACGCAUUAAGUGCCCCGCCUGGGGAGUACGGCCGCAAGGCUAAAACUCAAAGGAAUUGACGGGGGCCCGCACAAGCGGCGGAGCAUGCGGAUUAAUUCGAUGCAACGCGAAGAACCUUACCAAGGCUUGACAUGAACCGGUAAUACCUGGAGACAGGUGCCCCGCUUGCGGUCGGUUUACAGGUGGUGCAUGGUUGUCGUCAGCUCGUGUCGUGAGAUGUUGGGUUAAGUCCCGCAACGAGCGCAACCCUCGUUCUAUGUUGCCAGCACGUGAUGGUGGGGACUCAUAGGAGACUGCCGGGGUCAACUCGGAGGAAGGUGGGGACGACGUCAAAUCAUCAUGCCCCUUAUGUCUUGGGCUUCACGCAUGCUACAAUGGCCGGUACAAAGGGUUGCGAUACUGUGAGGUGGAGCUAAUCCCAAAAAGCCGGUCUCAGUUCGGAUUGGGGUCUGCAACUCGACCCCAUGAAGUCGGAGUCGCUAGUAAUCGCAGAUCAGCAACGCUGCGGUGAAUACGUUCCCGGGCCUUGUACACACCGCCCGUCAAGUCACGAAAGUUGGUAACACCCGAAGCCGGUGGCCUA
rnacentral:rRNA from 1 species